rnacentral:rRNA from 1 species
AGUGAACGCUGGCGGUAGGCCUAACACAUGCAAGUCGAACGGCAGCACAGUAAGAGCUUGCUCUUACGGGUGGCGAGUGGCGGACGGGUGAGGAAUACAUCGGAAUCUACUUUUUCGUGGGGGAUAACGUAGGGAAACUUACGCUAAUACCGCAUACGACCUACGGGUGAAAGCAGGGGAUCUUCGGACCUUGCGCGAUUGAAUGAGCCGAUGUCGGAUUAGCUAGUUGGGGGGGUAAAGGCCCACCAAGGCGACGAUCCGUAGCUGGUCUGAGAGGAUGAUCAGCCACACUGGAACUGAGACACGGUCCAGACUCCUACGGGAGGCAGCAGUGGGGAAUAUUGGACAAUGGGCGCAAGCCUGAUCCAGCCAUACCGCGUGGGUGAAGAAGGCCUUCGGGUUGUAAAGCCCUUUUGUUGGGAAAGAAAAGCAGCAGGUUAAUACCCCGCUGUUCUGACGGUACCCAAAGAAUAAGCACCGGCUAACUUCGU